rnacentral:rRNA from 1 species
AGUGAACGCUGGCGGUAGGCCUAACACAUGCAAGUCGAACGGCAGCACAGUAAGAGCUUGCUCUUACGGGUGGCGAGUGGCGGACGGGUGAGGAAUACAUCGGAAUCUACUUUUUCGUGGGGGAUAACGUAGGGAAACUUACGCUAAUACCGCAUACGACCUACGGGUGAAAGCAGGGGAUCUUCGGACCUUGCGCGAUUGAAUGAGCCGAUGUCGGAUUAGCUAGUUGGCGGGGUAAAGGCCCACCAAGGCGACGAUCCGUAGCUGGUCUGAGAGGAUGAUCAGCCACACUGGAACUGAGACACGGUCCAGACUCCGACGGGAGGCAGCAGUGGGGAAUAUUGGACAAUGGGCGCAAGCCUGAUCCAGCAAUACCGCGUGGGUGAAGAAGGCCUUCGGGUUGUAAAGCCCUUUUGUUGGGAAAGAAAAGCAGCAGGUUAAUACCCCGCUGUUCUGACGGUACCCAAAGAAUAAGCACCGGCUAACUUCGUG